GGUAGAUGGGUAGGAUCAUUGGAGGAUCGAUCUAGCCGUUGGAUUUAACGAUCGUACGGAUAGAGUGAUGUAUGUCUGUCAUGGUUUAAGUCACCGUCACCACUAUACUUUUUAUAAGUAGUAUAUUGAUAUAGAUAUCUUGGGUCCGCCCCUGUUGAUUUAUAGUUAUAGAUAAACGAAGCCUCGUAAAGAAAAGAAGCAAUAAGUUAAUGUCCUGACACGGAGAAAUAACAUCACAAUUAACAAAACAUUGUGUUACAAGGUUAAUUAUUAUUACCCACCAUGGUUAACGCCUAAUGCGUCGUCAUUAACACACACACAGAGGUAGAAUAGAAACGUUUUAAUUAGUUUUGCUCGUCGGCGGCGGCGCGCUUCCAUAGCGCCCUGACGGGGCGGGCGGGGCGGCGUUGAGGGUGGCGGAGGCAGUCGCAGAGCCGCCGGAAGAAGUCGACCACCGGCCGGAUCCGCGACAGCAGCACGAACACCGGGCCCAGCACGCCGCCGGUCACCGUCACGAUCGCCAUGGGCUCCAUCUAUAUAUCGAUCUAUUUGGCCUUUGCAUGCCUAGAUGGUGAUCGUGAUCGAUGUGAGUGGAAGGAGAGGUGAAAUUUUAUACGGGAGAGGAAGCUGGGGGUUAAAGCCAAGUUGUGCGGGUGUGCCUCCACGGCAAACAAAACGGCUAUUUUUGGGAAUGGCUAGUUAAUGGUUCUUGCUUAACAUCCGAUCAAAAGGUUAGUCAUGCAAAUUUAUUGCUAUUUAUCGUAACUACUGUCAUCUUAUCAUGUGUUCAGGGUGGUACCUAGCAAUUACGGUUGCAGAAACACAUAUUACUCUCUGGUUAAACAUAUUUGACGUAACUCAAUUCCCCUAACGCCAAAUAAAAUUUAUGUAUAUAAACUUGCAGUAAAGUUGUGGUAUAUAAACAUACCCCAAAAAAAAAAACUAUCGCUGGCGGUGAUGGAUUGUUCAUUAGCAAUUUCGGAGUAUUUAGGUUCUAUUUAAUUUGUUUAUGUUUAUAAGCUAGCUUAUGAGGGUUUUUUUUUUUUGCGGGGGAGCUAGCUUAUGAGUUGAAAAGUCUAAAUCUGAGCAAAACAAUGUUUUUUGGCUUUUUUAAAGCCAUAACCCACUCUUAUACAAUGAUAAGUUAAAAGCUAGGUUAGAGUAGCAUUUUAGCUUAUGUAAAGUGACAAUACGAUUCUGCUAUCAAAAUUUAGGCUUUUAAGCUACUGGUUUAUAAAACAUAUAAGAAAAAUAUUGAUUUCCAAGUUUAAGUCAUUGAGUUUAAGUCUAAACAAAGAGACCCUCAGAGGAACGGAUAUAAUGUUAUGAUAACACAUACGCAGUUCACGAAUAUAUUUGUUACUACUUCGUUCGUCUUAAAAUAUGAUAACCUAGUAUCGGAUGAGACACAACCUAUUACUAUAAAUAUUGUAACCUACUAUAAGAUAAGACACAUUCUAAUACUAUAAAUUUAGAUGUCCUAUGUAGUUCUAUAUUUUGGGACGAAUGUAGUAUUUCAUUUAAAAAAAAACUUUAUUUCUGAUUACGAACAUAGCCAAGUUUUUAUUUGGUUUAUAGCCUAAAACAAAGUCAUUUAGGCCCUUUCAAGUGGAUGAAUUUUGUGAGAUUUUUAACAAGAAUUGAACUAAUUCCUAUUCUACUUCCAAAUGAACGCACGAUAAAGUUGGUAAUUUAAGAAGGAUCCAACGGACAAGACGCUACUAGUUGGGGGUAUAAGUGGGUUAGCCACGAACUCACUUAUACAUCAAAAUAAGUGGGCUCGCGGCUUAUUUUAAUCUAUAAGUGGGUUUCGCGGGUUAGCCACUUACACCCCUAGCUGCUAGUUAACGCUUCUGAAUUUACUGUUACACCAGUUAGAAAAUAAGAUGAGCAUAACAGCCAUCCAUUGUUUCUACAAAAUGCAAAACAACAUUCAUGGGCAGUCUUAAUUAUGUAGCCAAAAGCGACUGGCGAGUUUAUACAGAUGGCAGCAAACAUCAAACAUUGAUAUAACGAUUUACCAAAUUUCACAGCAUCCAGUGAAAUGAAACAUGCAGAUGAUUCAUUCUUAGCAGUGAGUACAGCACUUGAUAUAUACCACUGC